rnacentral:tRNA from 1 species
GUGGUUGUGGCUCAUUGGUAGAGCUCUUGCCUAGCACAUGUGAGGCACUGAGUUCGAUUCUUAGCACCACA